UACGUAGGGGGCUAGCGUUGUCCGGAAUCAUUGGGCGUAAAGCGCGUGUAGGCGGUCCGGUAAGUCCGCUGUGAAAGUCGGGGGCUCAACCCUCGAAUGCCGGUGGAUACUGUCGGGCUAGAGUGCGGAAGAGGCGAGUGGAAUUCCUGGUGUAGCGGUGAAAUGCGCAGAUAUCAGGAGGAACACCAAUUGCGAAGGCAGCUC
rnacentral:rRNA from 1 species